AGACAGACCCUUUCAUUGAGGAAACAGCUGGAGCCCAGAGAAGCAGAGUCUGGAUUCAAGUCUUGGUCUCAAUCACUGGCUUCGGAAUGAGGGCACGGUGCACCGCUUUUCUCAGUCUUGGUUGAUAUUUUUUCCAUUGAGGCAGUGCCCCUUGGAAAAUUGAAGAAAAUUCUGAUUGGUCAUGAUGGCACAGGUCCCGAUUUGUUGCUUCUGAAGAAAAAUACCUCCAGGAAAAGUUCACCUUUCUCCCCUUCUCUAUAUCCUGUUCAUGGUGGAGCAGAGCAUUCCUCAGGCUGUCGCAGGUUACGUUGAAUCCCAAGAGUUUUUACAAAGUUUCAUGUUGAGGGCAUAGUGCUAUGAUUCAAGUUCCUUUUCUGUAACCUGGCCUAUGUUUGAAGAGAGAAAUGAAGCUGAACAAGGUAAUUUCUGAAGAAUGAUUAAAGAUGCUUGAAAACAGAGGUUAUGUUCAUCUUUAUAAUUCCUGGAGCAAGCGCAGAAAGCAGAAAAGUAAUGCCUUUGCCAGUAAGACACCAAUAUUGGAAAUCAGAUGGAUUGAGUCCCUGCUGAGUGGCCAUUAAGGGAAGCUCGGUCUGCUAGGUCUUUAUACUGAUGUUUUCAACACCGUUGGAAGCAUAACUAUCCGCACUGAUGACUGGGCAACAACACUUUGGUCUACCAGCCAGCUCCAGGGCUUCAACUAAUUUUUAUUAUCAACAAGAUUAUUUUCAGGAUUCAAGUGCAACACAAGAUUCAGGAAUCUAAAGCUAUGUCUCUCUUCCCUCUGUCGAUGCUAAAACCAUAGCAGUAACAAGUCUUGACUUUCCUCACCCCAACCCUGGCCAGAUCCUCUUUUUCACCGUGAAGUACCUCUUGGACCAGAACUAUCACCUAUGAAAAAAGCUGUAGAAACCCAUUUUCUUGAUUCAGAGAACCCAGUCUACUUCCUCCAAGUUUUGAAAGCAAAGAACAAAGUCCAACUGACCUCAGUGUCCUUGGACUUAAUGAUACCCAGGGCUCAACCAGAAUGAGAGUCUCUGUGAAUGAAGCGCAUGCCAAUUUUGGUUAUAACUUGUCUAUUAAAUAACAUUUUGUGUUGAAUGCAUGAUGUGACAUCUACUCAGUAAUUAACUCCAGGGAAUUUCAAAUUCUUGGGGAGGCUAUUAUGGGUGGGCAGUUCACACAAUAUUCACUAUGUAUCCCUUGCAAGUUUAAGUGAACCAAAUUUCUCAUUUGAAUCUGCCUUCUGAAAAUUCUUUCACAAUUCUCUCUAUUCUUUCUCCUAUGUGUAGCAGACAAUCAGAUGUAACCUUUGUAAAUUUAGAAAAUAAAAACUGCUUUUGAGUAGAGAAAUUAUUUUGCUAGGCUUUUUAUGCUAUUUAAUUUAAUUAUUCACAUUCAUCCUCUGUACAUUUUUAAUGUAUUUAUACAAUUCCUUCAGAUUUUCCCAUUGUUCAAAAUAACAUCUAUAUAUUUUGGUGGAUGCUUUACUAAUGUCUGUUUAUUAUCACCUUAAAAAUUGUGUCAUGAUUUAAUUUAGUUCAAUUGAAUUCAAAUUCUCCUGAGAUUGUUUAGGUAAAAGACUAUCAUAUUUUUAUUCUUCCUGACAAAUGGUUUAUUAUGUUUCCACAAUUUAUCUAUAACAUACAUUUUGGAAGCAGCAGAAGCACUAAAACAUUAAAUAUCUAUUAUAAUUCUGGCUGAGUGUUGCUGGGUGUUUUUCUUUGCUUUGCUUUUUUUUUUUAAGUGCCACAUGA